AGUAAUACAUAAGUAACCUGCCCUAGACGAGGGGAUAACUAUUGGAAACGAUAGCUAAGACCGCAUAGGUACGGACACUGCAUGGUGACCGUAUUAAAGUGCCUCAAAGCACUGGUAGAGGAUGGACUUAUGGCGCAUUAGCUGGUUGGCGGGGUAACGGCCCACCAAGGCGACGAUGCGUAGCCGACCUGAGAGGGUGACCGGCCACACUGGGACUGAGACACGGCCCAG
rnacentral:rRNA from 1 species